AGAGUUUGAUCCUGGCUCAGAUUGAACGCUGGCGGCAGGCCUAACACAUGCAAGUCGGACGGUAGCACAGAGAGCUUGCUCUUGGGUGACGAGUGGCGGACGGGUGAGUAAUGUCUGGGGAUCUGCCCGAUAGAGGGGGAUAACCACUGGAAACGGUGGCUAAUACCGCAUAACGUCGCAAGACCAAAGAGGGGGACCUUCGGGCCUUGCGCUAUCAGAUGAGCCUAGGUCGGAUUAGCUAGUUGGUGAGGUAAUGGCUCACCAAGGCGACGAUCCGUAACUGGUCUGAGAGGAUGACCAGCCACACUGGAACUGAGACACGGUCCAGACUCCUACGGGAGGCAGCAGUGGGGAAUAUUGGACAAUGGGCGAAAGCCUGAUCCAGCCAUGCCGCGUGUGUGAAGAAGGUCUUCGGAUUGUAAAGCACUUUAAGUUGGGAGGAAGGGCAGUAAGCUAAUACCUUGCUGUUUUGACGUUACCGACAGAAUAAGCACCGGCUAACUCUGUGCCAGCAGCCGCGGUAAU
rnacentral:rRNA from 1 species